UCAAUGACGCUCUUGUGCCACUCGCGGGUUCCGUGACACAUAUUAAUCCUCGCCAUGUUCAUGCCCCCAACUGCCAGUGCCUGCAGCUGCUCGAAGCUACAUGUGGCCGGACCGAUCGUGCAAACAAGCUUCGUCCUCCUGGUGCUCCUAAACCCAUUCUCCUUCAAUUCAGCCUCCGUCACCGCAUCCACCUCGAUCGAACUCACAUCGGCCACUGCCAAGGAAGUAUACUCCGGCGCCAAGAC
rnacentral:misc_RNA from 1 species